rnacentral:tRNA from 1 species
GGUAUAGCCAAGCGGUAAGGCACCGGAUUCUGAUUCCGGCAUUUCGAAGGUUCGAAUCCUUCUACC